AUUGAACGCUGGCGGCAUGCCUUACACAUGCAAGUCGAACGGCAGCACGGGAGCAAUCCUGGUGGCGAGUGGCGAACGGGUGAGUAAUGUAUCGGAACGUGCCCAGUCGUGGGGGAUAACGCAGCGAAAGCUGUGCUAAUACCGCAUACGAUCUAUGGAUGAAAGCGGGGGAUCGCAAGACCUCGCGCGAUUGGAGCGGCCGAUAUCAGAUUAGCUAGUUGGUGGGGUAAAAGCUUACCAAGGCGACGAUCUGUAGCUGGUCUGAGAGGACGACCAGCCACGCUGGAACUGAGACACGGUCCAGACUCCUACGGGAGGCAGCAGUGGGGAAUUUUGGACAAUGGGCGCAAGCCUGAUCCAGCAAUGCCGCGUGCAGGAUGAAGGCCUUCGGGUUGUAAACUGCUUUUGUACGGAGCGAAAAGGCUCUCUCUAAUACAGGGGGCUCAUGACGGUACCGUAAGAAUAAGCACCGGCUAACUACGUGCCAGCCGCCGCAGUAA
rnacentral:rRNA from 1 species